GACGUAGGGCACGAGCGUUGUCCGGAUUUAUUGGGCGUAAAGAGCUCGUAGGCGGCUUGUCGCGUCGUCCGUGAAAACCAGGGGCUCAACCCCUGGCUUGCGGUCGAUACGGGCAGGCUAGAGUUCGGUAGGGGAGACUGGAAUUCCUGGUGUAGCGGUGAAAUGCGCAGAUAUCAGGAGGAACACCGGUGGCGAAGGCGGUUGCCUGGGGCUUUGCUGACGCUGAUGCGCGAAAGCGUGGGGAGCGAUCCGG
rnacentral:rRNA from 1 species